UACGUAGGCAGCGAGCGUUGUUCGGAGUUACUGGGCGUAAAGGGUGUGUAGGCGGUUCUUUAAGUUUGGUGUGAAAAUCUCCCGGCUCAACCGGGAGGGUGCGCCGAAUACUGAGGGACUAGAGUGCGGGAGAGGAAAGUGGAAUUCCUGGUGUAGCGGUGAAAUGCGUAGAUAUCAGGAGGAACACCGGUGGUGUAGACGGCUUUCUGGACCGUAACUGACGCUGAGACACGAAAGCGUGGGUAGCAAACAGG
rnacentral:rRNA from 1 species